rnacentral:rRNA from 1 species
UCAUUAAAUCAGUUACAAUCUAAUGAAUAUUGACCAUAUUCUACAUGGAUAACUGUGGUAAUUCUAGAGCUAAUACGUGCAACAUGCCUUGACCUCUUCGCAAGAAGUAAGGAAUAGGUGGCACUUUAUUAGACCAAAAUCAACGGGUGCGCUCCUCACCGAGCACACCUUGAGACUAUGGUGACUCUGGAUAACUGUUGCUGAUCGCAUGGCCUCUGUGCCGGCGAUGAGUUCACAGAGUAACUGCCUUAUCAACUUGAUGGUAGGUUCAAUGCCUACCAUGGUUGUUACGGGUAACGGGGAAUCAGGGUUCGAUUCCGGAGAGGGAGCCUGAGAAACGGCUACCACAUCCAAGGAAGGCAGCAGGCACGCAAAUUACCCACUCUUAGCACGAGGAGGUAGUGACGAAAAAUACCGGUACAGGACUCUUAGGAGGCCCUGUAAUCGGAAUGAGUACGAUCUAAAUCCUCUAACGAGGAUCUAGUGGAGGGCAAGUCUGGUGCCAGCAGCCGCGGUAAUUCCAGCUCCAUUAGCGUAUAUAAAAGUUGUUGCGGUUAAAAAGCUCGUAGUUGGAUCUCAACUCAUGCCUCGCAGGUCCACUGUGUGUUCAUUCACACGUUGGUCACUUACUUGGCUGAGUUACUUUAGAGAUUGUACACACUGUAUGAUGCUCUUCACCGAGUGUCAUGCAGCGAUCUCUUUGUUUACUUUGAACAAAUUAAAGUGCUUAAAGCAGGCAGUUCAACUGCCUCUGAAUAUACAUGCAUGGAAUAAUGAAAUAGGACUUCAGUUCUAUUUUGUUGGUUUUCGGACCUGAAGUAAUGAUUAAGAGGGACAGACGGGGGCAUUAGUAUUGAGACGCUAGAGGUGAAAUUCUUGGACCGUCUCAAGACUAACAACAGCGAAAGCAUUUGCCAAGAAUGUUUUCAUUAAUCAAGAACGAAAGUUAGAGGUUCGAAGGCGAUCAGAUACCGCCCUAGUUCUAACCAUAAACGAUGCUAACCAGCGAUCAGCACGAGUACUAACAAGCACUCUGCUGGAAACUUCUCGGGAAACCAAAGUCUUUGGGUUCCGGGGGAAGUAUGGUUGCAAAACUGAAACUUAAAGGAAUUGACGGAAGGGCACCACCAGGAGUGGAGCCUGCGGCUUAAUUUGACUCAACACGGGGAAACUCACCCGGCCCGGACACUACAAGGAUUGACAGAUUGAUAGCUCUUUCUUGAUGCAGUGGGUGGUGGUGCAUGGCCGUUCUUAGUUCGUGGAUUGAUUUGUCUGGUUAAUUCCGAUAACGAACGAGACUCUAACUUAUUAACUAGUUUAGUGUGUACCUUCACGGUCCGCACUUAACUUGAACUUCUUAAAGGGACAAGCGGCGUUUCAGCCGCACGAAAAAGAGCAAUAACAGGUCUGUGAUGCCCUUAGAUGUCCGGGGCUGCACGCGCGCUACACUGAAGAGUGCAGCGUGAGAAGGUGCAACCUACUGUUCAGAGACAGUGGGGAACCAUGAGAAUCCUCUUCGUAAUAGGGACAAGGCAUUGUAACUAUGCCUUCGAACGAGGAAUUCCCAGUAAGCGUGAGUCAUCACCUAGCGUUGAUUAAGUCCCUGCCCUUUGUACACACCGCCCGUCGCUACUACCGAUUGAAUGAUUUAGUGAGGUCUUCGGAUUGAUUAGUGACGCGUUGUUCAUUCGACGCAUCACCGAUUGAGAAGACGACCAAACUUGAUCAUUU